UGCGUAGGCGGAAAAUUAAGUCAGUGAUGAAAUCCUGCAGCUUAACUGUAGAACUGUUAUUGAUACUGAUUUUCUUGAAUUCAGUUGAGGUAGGCGGAAUGUGUAAUGUAGCGGUGAAAUGCUUAGAUAUUACACAGAACACCGAUUGCGUAGGCAGCUUACUAAACUGAUACUGACGCUGAGGCACGAAAGCGUGGGGAGCAAACAGGAUUAGAUACCCUGGUAGUC
rnacentral:rRNA from 1 species